UCCUCCAGCAGCAGCAGCAGCAGCACAGUAACAUAACACCAACACUGACACUGAGCCUUCCUGCAGGAUGAUGCUGCUGCUGCUGCUGGAGGA